CUCCUCUCCUGUCAGGGUUUUAAGUAGCACUUUCCCAAAUUAUUUUAGCAAAUUAGCAGUUUGGAAUCUCACACUCCACUUCAGCAGUCCAUGCCAACCUCAUCCUGCUCAGAGGCGGGCUUUUGGAUGCAGAUAGCGCAAUGUGUCUUCCUGCUGAAGUCUGGCCAGUGUGUUUCGGUUAAUUGAAGAGAGGCUGUAUGGUCCAGUUAACUGAGGACAGGCCUCCGCAAUGGAGCUACCAGGCACAAAGAAGUCGGAGUACCCACGAUGCAAGAAAAAGGAGAAGCUAAGAAGAGAUAAAGAUGCUGUUUAGUCUUUCCAAAGCAUUACAAUGCAAGCAGAUACCUACUGGCCUGCUACUCCCAGCUUGAUGAACCUCCAGACACGAGGAACAGAGCCAUCUGAAUUGUUUGCAGCAAUCUGGCCAGCCCCAUUGCAAAACAUCCUGAUGAUACCCACCCAGGUUCCCAUCUGAAAGACCUGAAGUAUAAAAGGACCAGUGUUUCUGCAUUGAAACGAGCCAACGUGACAUUCACAAGGGGCAAGCCAGAGUCAGAAGCAAGCAUCAGAAUCAAGUGUGUUGGUGUGAGGCAAGGAUGAGCUUGGAGGUAAACUCACUGCAUGGCUAAUAAUCCUCAGAUCCUUUGGAUAAAAUUUGUCAGCGAACAGAUGGGAACAUGUUCCUGCAUGGUGUGUAUGACUGCUUCUCCAUCUCUAAGAAGUUACCCUACAGGGCUAGGCUCUGAACGCCCAGAUCACCUUUCAGAGAACAACAGAGCUUAUUAGCAUGUCAAUGGGAUGAAAGUGUUUGUGAUUGCAUUGACUUAUUUAUCCUAUUCACUGAGGUUCCCACUGCCCUUUACCGAAGGGUGGUUUUUCUCAGCGAUCUCUGUUUUAGGACUAAGUGGGUUACCACACCUCACAACUGAAUUUCUCCUUUGAAAACAUUUUCUUCAGACUGGGAGAGGGGCUGAGGAGCCGGGUCAGUGGGUAAGAGCACCCAAGUUUGGCUCCUGGCACACAAGCAGCUGUAACUCCAGUUCCAGAGGACCUGACACCCUCCUCCAGCCUGUGUGAGCACCUGACACACAUACAACAUUAAAAACAAAAUAAAUCCUAAAAGUUUUUUUCUUGGGCUGGCAAGAUGUUCAGUGGGUGAAGGCACUCACCAUCGAAGCAAGACAGCUUGAGUUUGGUGAUCACUCACUGGAAGGACACAAGUGGAAGGACAAUCUCCAGCACUCAUCAGGGGUCCUCUGAUCGACACAGGCUUGUCAUGGCGUGUGUGCUGGUGCACACCACCACCACACACACACACACACACACACACACACACACACACACACAUCAAAAGAAAUAACUAAUUAAUUUUUAAAUGUUUUCUUUAUUUUGAAAUAAAUUUCUGUCUUUGGUGGUUUAAAGACA